rnacentral:rRNA from 1 species
CAGUCGCCGCGGGAAUACGAAGGGGGCUAGCGUUGCUCGGAUUUACUGGGCGUAAGGCGCACGUAGGCGGAUCCUUAAGUCAGAGGUGAAAUCCCAAGGCUCAACCUUGGAACUGCCUUUGAUACUGGGGAUCUCGAGUUCGGGAGAGGUGAGUGGAACUGCGAGUGUAGAGGUGAAAUCCGUAGAUAUUCGCAAGAACACCAGUGGCGAAGGCGGCUCACUGGCCCGAUACUGACGCUGAGGUGCGAAAGCGUGGGGAGCAAACAGGAUUAGAUAACCGUGUAGUCCCUGUCUCUUAUAC